CAGCAGCCGCGGGAAUACGAAGGGUGCAAGCGUUACUCGGAAUUACUGGGCGUAAAGCGUGCGUAGGUGGUGGUUUAAGUCCGUUGUGAAAGCCCUGGGCUCAACCUGGGAAUUGCAGUGGAUACUGGGUCACUAGAGUGUGGUAGAGGAUAGUGGAAUUUCCGGUGUAGCAGUGAAAUGCGUAGAGAUCGGAAGGAACAUCUGUGGCGAAGGCGACUAUCUGGGCCAACACUGACACUGAGGCACGAAAACGUGGGGAGCAAACAGGAUUAGAGACCCCCGUAGUCCCUGUCUCUUAUAC
rnacentral:rRNA from 1 species